AUACGGAGGGUGCAAGCGUUAUUCGGAAUCACUGGGCGUAAAGGACGCGUAGGCGGGUUGGCAGGUCAGAUGUGAAAUCCUACAGCUUAACUGUAGAACUGCAUUUGAAACUGCUAACCUAGAGUAUGGGAGGGGGAGAUGGAAUUAGUGGUGUAGGGGUAAAAUCCGUAGAUAUCACUAGGAAUACCGAAAGCGAAGGCGAUCUCCUGGAACAUAACUGACGCUAAGGCGUGAAAGCGUGGGGAGCAAACAGGAUUAGAAACCCUAGUAGUCC
rnacentral:rRNA from 1 species